rnacentral:sRNA from 1 species
CCUCAUGAGAAUUGUAAAGAUGAGAUAGAAGAGGAGAGAAGGCUUUGUUAUGUGGGUAUGACAAGAGCUAAGAAAAAGCUUUAUUUAACAUGUUCUUUAAA